rnacentral:rRNA from 1 species
GACGAACGCUGGCGGCGGGCUUAACACAUGCAAGUCGAACGGAAAGGCCCUGCUUUUGUGGGGUGCUCGAGUGGCGAACGGGUGAGUAACACGUGAGUAACCUGCCCUGGACUUUGGGAUAACUUCAGGAAACUGGGGCUAAUACCGGAUAGGAGCGCCUGCUGCAUGGUGGGGGUUGGAAAGUUUCGGCGGUUGGGGAUGGACGCGCGGCUUAUCAGCUUGUUGGUGGGGUAGUGGCUUACCAAGGCUUUGACGGGUAGCCGGCCUGAGAGGGUGACCGGCCACAUUGGGACUGAGAUACGGCCCAGACUCGUACGGGAGGCAGCAGUGGGGAAUAUUGCACAAUGGGCGGAAGCCUGAUGCAGCAGCGCCGCGUGCGGGAUGACGGCCUUCGGGUUGUAAACCGCUUUCGCCUGUGACGAAGCGUGAGUGACGGUAAUGGGUAAAGAAGCACCGGCUAACUACGUG